AAACAAGCUCAAGCAGAUCAGAAGAGGGCUAACUUUUUCUGUCCAGAAGGGGACCAUCUGACUUUACUUGCUGUAUAUGAGGCCUGGAAAGCUAAAGGUUUCUCAGGGCCUUGGUGUUCUGAGAAUUUUGUUCAGUCUCGAUCAUUAAGGAGGGCACAGGAUGUUAGAAAACAACUUCUAACCAUCAUGGAUAAGUAUAAGCUAGAUGUUGGGAGUGCUGGAAAGGAUUUUAAGAAGAUAAGGAAAGCAAUUACCGCAGGAUUCUUUUUCCAAACAGCUAGAAAGGAUCCACAAGGUGGUUAUCGGAGCCUAGUUAACAAUCAGAUAGUUUAUAUCCACCCAAGUAGUGCUCUUUUCCACAGAAAACCAGACUGGGUCAUCUAUCAUGAGGCAGUAAUGACUACAAAGGAGUACAUGCGUGAGGUAACUGUUAUAGACCCUAAAUGGCUUAUAGAACUGGCACCAAGAUUCUU
rnacentral:misc_RNA from 1 species